rnacentral:rRNA from 1 species
UGGGGAAUAUUGGACAAUGGGCGAAAGCCUGAUCCAGCCAUGCCGCGUGAGUGAUGAAGGCCCUAGGGUUGUAAAGCUCUUUCGGCGGGGACGAUAAUGACGGUACCCGCAGAAGAAGCCCCGGCUAACUUCGUGCCAGCAGCCGCGGUAAUACGAAGGGGGCUAGCGUUGCUCGGAAUCACUGGGCGUAAAGGGCGCGUAGGCGGAUCUUUAAGUCGGGGGUGAAAGCCUGAGGCUCAACCUCAGAAUUGCCUUCGAUACUGGAGAUCUUGAGACCGGAAGAGGUGAGUGGAACUGCGAGUGUAGAGGUGAAAUUCGUAGAUAUUCGCAAGAACACCAGUGGCGAAGGCGGCUCACUGGUCCGGUUCUGACGCUGAGGCGCGAAAGCGUGGGGAGCAAACAG